rnacentral:rRNA from 1 species
UAAGGAAUAUUGCUCAAUGGGAGAAAUCCUGAAGCAGCAACGCCGCGUGGAGGAUGAAGGGUCUAUGACUUGUAAACUCCUGUAAAGAAGGAAAAAAUUCCCAUUUGAUGGGAGAUGAUGGUACUUCUGGAGUAAGCCCCGGCUAACUACGUGCCAGCAGCCGCGGUAAUACGUAGGGGGCAAGCGUUGUCCGGAUUUACUGGGUGUAAAGGGUGCUCAGGCGGAUUUGUAAGUCAGAGGUGAAAUCUUACAGCUUAACUGUGAAACUGCCUGUGAUACUGCAAGCCUAGAGUAUGGAAGAGAGUGAUGGAAUAUCUGGUGUAGCAGUGAAAUGCGUAGAUAUCAGAUAGAACACCAAUGGCGAAGGCAGUCACUUGGUCCAUUACUGACGCUAAAGCACGAAAGCGUGGGUAGCAAACA